rnacentral:rRNA from 1 species
AAUGAACGCUGGCGGCAGGCCUAACACAUGCAAGUCGAACGGAUCCUUCGGGAUUAGUGGCGGACGGGUGAGUAACGCGUGGGAACAUACCCAAAGGUACGGAAUAGCCUCAGGAAACUGGGAGUAAUACCGUAUGUGCUCGAAAGAGGAAAGAUUUAUCGCCUUUGGAUUGGCCCGCGUUGGAUUAGGUAGUUGGUGGGGUAAUGGCCUACCAAGCCGACGAUCCAUAGCUGGUUUGAGAGGAUGAUCAGCCACACUGGGACUGAGACACGGACCAGACUCCUACGGGAGGCAGCAGUGGGGAAUGUUAGACAAUGGGGGAAACCCUGAUCUAGCCAUGCCGCGUGAUCGAUGAAGGCCUUAGGGUUGUAAAGAUCUUUCAGGUGGGAAGAUAAUGACUGUACCACCAGAAGAAGCCCCGGCUAACUCCGUGCCAGCCGCCGCCGUAA